rnacentral:rRNA from 1 species
ACUGAACGCUAGCGGCAGGCUUAACACAUGCAAGUCGAGCGGGGUGAUGGUGCUUGCACUAUCACUUAGCGGCGGACGGGUGAGUAAUGCUUAGGAAUCUGCCUAUUAGUGGGGGACAACAUCUCGAAAGGGAUGCUAAUACCGCAUACGUCCUACGGGAGAAAGCAGGGGAUCACUUGUGACCUUGCGCUAAUAGAUGAGCCUAAGUCGGAUUAGCUAGUUGGUGGGGUAAAGGCCUACCAAGGCGACGAUCUGUAGCGGGUCUGAGAGGAUGAUCCGCCACACUGGGACGGAGACACGGCCCAGACUCCUACGGGAGGCAGCAGUGGGGAAUAUUGGACAAUGGGGGGAACCCUGAUCCAGCCAUGCCGCGUGUGUGAAGAAGGCCUUAUGGUCGUAAAGCACUUUAAGCGAGGAGGAGGCUCUUUUGGUUAAUACCCAAGAUGAGUGGACGUUACUCGCAGAAUAAGCACCGGCUAACUCUGUGCCAGCCGCCGCAGUAA